GCCGGGUGCGGUGGUGCAUGCCUGUAAUCCAGCGGCUCGGGAGGCUGAGGCAGGAGGAUGGUGAGUUUAAAGCCAGCCUCAGCAAAAGCAAGGCACUAAGCAACUCAGUGAGACCCUGUCUCUA
rnacentral:sRNA from 1 species